CAACUCAAAGACCAACUCCUUUUGGCUGCACUGGAAUCUCAGCGCACUUUUCGCGUUGGAGCGAAAUGCAUAUUUCGAACCGCCAAAACCCUCACUCCCAAUACUCUACCCCAUCACAGAACUAGGGUUUCCACAGCUCUCAUCCCCUCAAUGGCCGAGUCCGCCUUGCACCUCGUCUCCGAAAUCGGGGCCCAACUCGGCCGCCAAACACGCUCCGGCAAGGAUUCCAUACUCAAGUCGCUCAAACAAGUUGCAAAUGCUUUAUCAGAAAUAGAACAGCCUUCAUCGCGUGAAGCUGCCAAAAAGUUAGAAGCUACCAAAAAGCUAGAAGUUGCCAUAAAGCCCUUGAGGAAAGCGAUUUUACAGAGCCUUCUUCAGCAUAAAGAUAAGGAAGUUAGACUUCUAGUGGCCAUCUGCAUCAGUGAAAUGUUUCGGGUCAUGGCACCUGAACCACCUUUCGAAGACAAAUAUCUUAGGGACAUUUUUAAGCUUAUUGUCAGCACCUUUUCUGAGCUAGCUGAUUCUGCAAGCCCUUUCUUUUCAAGAAGAGUUAAAAUAUUAGAGACUGUUGCACAAUGUAAAUGUUGUGUUAUAAUGCUGGAUAUUGACUGCAACGAUCUAGUUCUUGAGAUGUUCAAUGUUUUUUUCUCAGUUGUGAGGGAAAAUCACCAGCAGAGUUUGAUUAAUCAUAUUAUGUCUAUAAUGACACAUAUUCUAAACGAGGAAACUUCUCAGACAGUUUUGGAUGUGAUUUUGCGAAAUCUUGUAAAGGAAGGAAAGGGUGAACCUUCUGCUUCUUAUAAGCUUGCUGUUUGUAUCAUCCAAAAUUGUGCAGAAAAGCUUGAGCCCUAUUUUUGUGGGUUUUUAACAGCUUGUAUUCUGGAUAGAGAUGCUGUAGAGAAUGAGCUCAAAGAAUUUUACCAUGAAAUUAUUUUUGAACUUUUCCAGUGUGCUCCUCAGAUGCUUCUUGCUGUCAUUCCAAACUUGACACACGAAUUACUGACUGAUCAGGUUGAUGUCCGGAUAAAAGCUGUUAAUUUAAUCGGAAAACUUCUUGCACUUCCCAAACAUCAUGUUGCCCAAGACUACCAUGAUCUUUUUGUAGAGUUCUUGAAAAGAUUCUCUGAUAAAUCUGUGGAAGUUAGAGUUAGUGCUCUACAAUGUGUUAAGGCUUUCUACAUGGCCAAUCCCUCAGGGGCAGAAUCACAUGAAGUUCUCACUGCCAUCGAAGAUCGAUUGUUAGAUUUUGAUGAUAGAGUGAGAACACAGGCAGUGAUUGUUGCCUGUGAUCUUGCCCAAUCUAACUUGAAAUUUGUUUCCCCCAAAUUAAUAUCUCAAGCUACUGAAAGACUUCGGGAUAAGAAGGUAUCUGUGAGAAAGAAGGCCUUACAUAAGUUGGUGGAAGUGUAUCGAAAUUACUGUAACAAAUGUUCUGAAGGCCAUAUGACAAUAAGUGACCACUUCGAACAGAUUCCAUGUAAGAUUUUGAUGCUGUGCUAUGAUAAAGAUUGCAAGGAGUUCAGGUCCCAAAACAUGGAGCUUGUUCUUGCGGAGGAUUUAUUUCCAGCACUUCUUUCAGUUGAGGAGAGGACAAGACAUUGGAUCCACUUGUUUUCUCUUUUCACCCCUCUUCAUGUGAAGGCAUUUAGCUCUAUCUUAUCCCAGAAGAGAAGGUUGCAAAAAGAGUUGCAAAUUUAUUUGGCCCUACGAAGAGAAGAGAAGGAGAAUGGUUCAGAAGAGACACAGAAUAGAAUUAAAGCUUCGAUUAUGAAAAUGGCUGCAUUUUUUCCAGAUCCUUCCAAAGCAGAAGACUCCUUUCAUAAAUUGAACCAAAUGAAAGAUAAUAACACUUUCAAGACUCUGGCAUCAUUAUUGGACGAGCUGCAAAUUAGAGAUGCUCAGACCACCAGAGAUAAAUUUUUGAAAACAAUAGGUGGUAGACAUCCACAGUAUGAGUUUUUGUGUUCACUUUCCUCAAAAUGCUCGUAUAACAUAUUUGGUUCGGAUCACAUCCAAUGUAUUCUAGAUUAUCUUUCCAGUAACAGAUCUGGAAACAAGCUCUUGGAGGCUUCUUCUGCCAACCUUCUUCUGGCCAUCAUUAGCAUUUACCCCUCACUCCUGAGAGGUUCAGAGGUGCAACUUCAAAUGUUGAUGGAGAAGAAUAGCCAAAUCAAUGACAAGCUGAUUGAAGUGUUAGCAAAAGCAGGUCCUCAUCUAUCUCUCAAACUCAGUGAUAUAUACCCCAUCUUGGAGAGAGUAUGUCUUGAGGGAAGUCGCAUGCAGGCCAAAUUUGCCGUUGCUGCAAUUGCAGCAUUAGCUGGUGUUUCUGAGCAAUUCUUCUUUUCAGAAUUAUGCAAGGAACUUGUGGAUUCUCUGCAUAGUAGGCGAAACAUCCCAACAGUUUUGCAGUCUUUAGGCUGCAUUGCACAAUACUCUGUUUCAACAUUUGAGGCUCAAGACGGAGAGAUCACAUCAUAUAUUAAUGAGAAAAUUUUUCAAGUGGACGCAUCGGAUGAUCUAAAUUCAUUUAAUGAUACUUAUGGCUGUAGUAAUUCUUGCAAAUUGAAGAUUUAUGGGCUGAAAACACUUAUCAAGAGUUUUUUGCCACAUCGAGCAACUCGUAUCAGACAGAAAAUUAAUGAAGUAUUGGACAUUUUGUCAAAAAUGCUGCAGAAGGGUGGUGCUUUUGAUGGUGUCAUCUCAUGUGAAAGUGAUAAGGCUCACAUCAGAUUAGCUGCUGCGAAGUCUGUUCUUCAGCUUUCCAAAAGAUGGGAUUUGCAUAUUUCAACAGAGAUUUUUCGCUUUACAAUUUUAACGGCGAAGGACUCCUCUUUUUUUGUUCGGAGACUAUUUCUCGAUAAGACACACAAGCUACUGAAGGAGCAUGCUAUACCUAGUAGAUAUGCAUGUGCAUUCGCAUUGGCCACAUCAGAUCGCCUCAAAGAUUUGCAGGAUAACUCAUUUAAAUAUAUGGCAGAAUUUAUCAAGGAAUAUAGUAGAGAAGCGCGAAUCCGUCAAGCUUCUGCUGCGCAAGGAGGAUCAAUCACUGAUUAUCCGGCAUAUAUAGUGGUAUUCUUGAUAUAUCUUCUUGCACAUGAUACAGGCUUCCCUCAUGAAAACUGUCAGGAUGAAGAACUAUAUGUCCAGUUUUGCAGUCCACUUUUUCAUUUACUGGAGGCAUUAGUCAGCAUUACAAUUGUUGAUGGGGACAGGGAUCUUGUUAAUGAUGCUCACUUACUUCUGCUCAGCAUUUUUCGUGCUAUUAAGAAAGCUGAGGAUGUUGUUGAUGCUCAAAAUACUCCAAAGCUGCACAUUUUAGCAGACAUUGGGUUCUCCUUUGUAACAUCAUUAAAUCAUAAUGGUGUCUCUUCAUCACAUGCCCCUGCACUGAUCUUGCUGCCAUCAUCAUUAUAUCGAGCAAAUUCAGGAUGUCUUACUCGGUCCUCUUUUGAUGACUGUCUUCUUGAGAAGAUUAUUCACAUGUUUAAAUCUUGUAGCUCUCUGCCCAUUAGCUCUCUUCCUAAACGUGGUCGAAAGUGCCAAGAGGAUGACACACAGUCAAAGAUCAUUAAGAACAACACAUUGAACUUGGCACAUGGCAAGCAACUUGAUUUGUCCACAACUGGAACAGAAACCCAAAAAAAUGUGAGCCAGUAUAUUAGUGUGGGACAUAGGAGAAAACGGGCUGUCUCUUCAACUGCUUCUGAUUCAGUUGGAUUGCGUGAAUGUUCUACUAUCAAUCACCAACAUGGUGCAUCUAAAAAGUCUGAAAAAAAUCUAGAGAAAGAACUACUCUCAUCUUCUUGUGAUUCUGUAACUCUGAGACCUUCCCUUGCUGAAUCACAUCCUUCGAUUCAAAUUCUAGAAAGAAAUGCCCCUUCUUUUAAAGAAAAUCUCAGGGACAGUAGCAGCAUUAUUGCUGAACCUUCCAAUUAUCUCAGAGCGAAGCUCAAAGACCCUUGCAAUAUCACAUAUGAUAGUGGGGAGGUUGAAGUAUUAUGCUUGGAAACUGAGAGCUGCGAGACGACAAGCAAUGGUCCGCUGGUGGAAAGGGAGGUUGUCUUGUCAGACGAGUCAAACACCUUUCAGUUGCCAAGCAGUGAUAGUGGGGAGCAUUUUUUUCACGGCAGUCUAAAGAAAGCUGUUGACGCAAUUGGAGAUGCUGCCACCCAACAGCAAAAAGUCUCUCCAUUUGAGGAAUGUCGAAAGUUUUCUGACAGAACUACUCGUCUUCCUGCAAAGGCAAAGAAGGGGCGGAAAACUUCUGUAGAUACAUCAGCAUCAGAAGUUAUCAAUCUGAAUGAAAAUGCUGUUGCCAAAAGAACUAGGAGGCAAAAAAUCUGACCUUUCAUACUUCUUUCGGGGCCAAUAAUUUCUUCCAGUUGUCAAAAAUUAUGAAUUCUGUCACUCUAGGUUAUGAGAAGUUGAGUAGUCACUCCUGAGGACUCUCAGCAGCCUUCAAGUCAGAUUAGCCAAAGAAUGCCCGUGUGUAGAUGCUGUGUUUAUGUUCUUAGUUACCGACUUCAAAACAGAAAUGCUGUAUAUAAAUAGGAUGAGUUCUAUGAUAAACUUCAUACUAGAUGAAGAAAAUAAAAAAGUCACAAGGUAGGACCCUUCGCACUCCUUAUUCGAAAGGAAGAAAGAUUGGAUGAUCCUAAAACUGAAAUAGGGGUGGGUUCCUUAUCAACAUUCUCAAAAUGAAAAUAUACUGCAGCAAAUACAAGCAAAUAACAGGAAAUUGGCCAAAAAAAAAUGGCCUGCUCUUUGGAUCUUGGUUGAAAACCAAGAACUGGGCACCACAAAGUGGUGUUUUGAAGAAGCUGGCCAAGAAGCUGACCAGCUUGGAGAGGCA